rnacentral:lncRNA from 1 species
GCCCAGAGUCCAAACCCUCGCCUGCCUCCUCUCGGCUUUAUUUUUCUGGGCUGUAGAUUUCACUUCCUUUUAGCCUCAUUGUUUUCCUCCGCAAAGUGGGGACAGGAUCGUCCCCCCUCGCAAGGCUGAUGCGAAGAUACAAGAUAAUGCGUGCACACGUGUUGUGGACCGGGCCUAGCACACUUUAUGUGCUCCAUAAUCAUUCCCCUCCCACCCUCUUCUCGGCCUCAUUCUGCCACCAAGUCCCUCUGGGACUUUGGGCCAGUCCUCUGUUCAAUUCAGUGAACAUUUUCAGAGCCUCUGAAUGUUCCAUGGUUGUGGCUGCAUGUGAGUCAGGCUGGCCACAUCCAAGUCAGCAGUGAAUCACCUGAGACGGGAGGUGGGGCGAGGCCCCAUGGCGUUGUCCCGUGGGAAGGUCAGAGACAGCAGACAGAAGCAGGGACGACAGACACAGUCCGGAGGGCUGUAAGCUAGGGGUGGUGGGAUCAGGUUUCUGAAACUUCCUCCACUGCCGUGUGGAUGCAAGGCAGAAGCUGGCCCAGGAGGGUCACUUAGAAGGCCACCUCUUAAAACAGAGAUGAGCAAAGACAACGGCUGACCUGGGGCAGGGGAAUUAGGGGUGGGGGAAGGGGAGAGGAGAUGCUGCCUGGGCUGGGGGCUGUCUUUCAUGAGGCAGCCAGAGGAGCCAAGGAUGGCCUCUGAAUGGGAGGCUGGGGCUGAGUCCAGCCAUCCCAGGACCUCCGGUGUGUGACUCCUGGACAUACCAGUCUUUGCCAUCCUAGCCCAGGCUGUCCCCACAUCCAAAGCUCCCCCUGUGGUCCCACCCCUGCUGCCCUUCAGAGCUGCGACCAUGGCCCUCAGGCCUGUCCACCGCCCUCGGCAACAUCAUGGCUAACCUGGGCUCCACACAUUUCUUCCAUCAGCAGACAGUGCCCCUCCGGGGGAAGCUCUGAGACCCAGCACCUAUCGGGAAAAACUCAAAGGUCCAGGCGCUGAAUCUAAGCCAGAUUUAAAUAGAUUUUACUGCGACAGGGGAGACCCCACCAAGCAGGGCCAAUAUAUGUGGUCCCAGGAGGUCAAGAAAUGGUGACUUUCCGUAUCCACUCCCGUCUUUCACUGCACGAAGCCCUCGGAAGAUUAUUCUAUAGCAGUACGAUGACAGCAUCCUCCUUCUAGGAACUACAUCGUCUUCCGUCUCUGGAUGUGCCAUCUUUUACUCAGCUAGUCUACAUCUCAGGUGUUCCCCAUCUUCUGCACACAAGUAUUUGCACAUGCGUGUGAGUGUGUGCUGCGAGCACAUUCUUACCAGUGGUAUCACUGGGUCUUGGGAGGUGUGUUUUUGUUUUUGCAUGUGACAAACACAAGCAAAUUGUCUUCCAUGGGGGUGGCCUCGAUUAUCCGUCCCCAGCAUGGCCCGGGAGUGCCUGUAUGCCCAUGAUCUCACUAAUAGGAUAGCAUCAGCUCUUUCAUUUUUCUUUACUUUCUUUUUGAGACAGAGUCUUGCUCUGUCACCCAGACUGGAUGCAGUGGCAUGAUCUCAGCUCACCUGCAGCCUCCGCCUCCUGGGUUCCAGCGAUUCUUCAGCCUUACCCUUCCAAGUAGCUGGGACUAGAGGCAAGCACCACCACGCCGGGCUAAUUUUUGUAUUUUCAGUAGAGAUGGGCUUUUGCAAUGUUGGCCAGCCUUGUCUGGAGCUCCUGACCUCAGGUGUUCUGUCUGCCUCAGCCUCCCAAAGUACUGGGAUUACAGGCAUGAGCCAUCACACCUGGCCUUUUACUUUUCACUGAAGGGAAAUAUACAUACAAAAAAGUGCGCCUGUCAUCAGAGCCCAGCUCGCUGGAUUUUCACAGCAUCCACGCCUCCAUGAAACCAGCACUUGGAUCAAGACGGGAAGGUCCCCAGUCCCUGAAGCCUGCUUGUCACUCCCCUCCCAACAUAAACUUGAUCUAUUGUCAGUCUUUUUUGUUCACUAAAAUCCCCCUUCCCUUUCCAAAUUCCCCUGUCUGCAUAGACCAUGUCAGUGCCGCCCAAACCAUAUGCCAGGAAACUGAAAAACUAAAAUGUUUUGAUUUUUUUAAAGGAAAAAUAAAUCAGUAAGGACAAGGGUCCCCAAACUAUUCCCCACGGGCCAAAUCCAUUUUGCAGUCCUUUUACGUGUGGCCCACAUGCUAAAAAUUAUAGUCAUUUUUUAAAUGAUUGGGAAAAAAAAUCAAAAGAAGAAUAGAUCAGGACACAUAAACAUUUUAUCAAAUUCAAAUCUCAGUGUCCAUAAAUAACGUUUUCUUGGCACGCAGGCACGUUCUUCAUUUGUGUAUUAUCUACGGCCCAGUUCUUGCUGCAGCAGCGGAAUCGAGAAGCUGCGGGAGAGACCCCGCAGCCUGCAAAGCUGAAAAUAUUUACUUCCUGGCCAUUCACAGAAAAUGUUUGCCAACCCAUGACCUAAAGCAUCAUCUCUCAGAGGGUUGGGAAGGAACCUGGAAGCUGUCCCAUUCAGAGGCGGGAGCUUCAACGGGACCCUGCGUCUUCUGCCUCCAAGGCCUGUGGUAGGGGCUGUCACAGGCUGCAGAGGAGUCCAGGAGGGAGAUGCUACAGGUAAGGCAGGAGGAUGGAGAAGAGAGAACAGACUUGAACUAGACUUAGGGUCACACCAGCAGCUGUGAGCAGCUGACGAGUGUUCCAGUGCAAGGAGAGGAGGGUGCAAGAGCCAGGGAUUAUACACUGAUUAGCCUCCAUCACCGCAGAAAUUAUCUUGCCUGUGCAUGGUGCGAGGGUCUGGAACAUACAUUUAACCAAGGCAAGGAGCGAAGUGAGAGGAAGCAAUAUUGUGGAUUGCAGGAGGUGAUGGAUGAGAUGAGAGAAGAAUCUGCAUGGUCAGAAUCUGUUUGGCAUCGGAAGGGAAGUACCCAGGAAAUUUGAGGAUCGCCUCGUCCAGUUGUCUGUGGAACUGAACUGUGAGUUGUCCAUGAGGGAUGAAUGGCAAUGCCAAUGUUUCCAGAGUUUCUGUCAUGAGGUCUCCUGGCUUGGAGAUGGAGAGGGCACACACAGGUUUCGGAUUCAAGCCUGCAGGACAGUCCUGGCUGCACCACUCAGGAACCCUGGGUGAGUCUCUUUACCCCUCACAGCCUCAGUUUUCCCUUCCUGGAAAUGGGACCACAAUCCAAACCUUGUAGAACUGCUUCAAAGAUGAAAGGAGACAUCGCAUGUGAGAUGCCGGCCCAUAGGAGCCAGGGCACGAAAGGCAGCUCCGCAUUGGGUCCCCAAAAAGUCUCCGCAGGUUGGCAGCCAAGAGAGCUACCAUUUCUUUGUUUGGAGAGAUUCCACUCCCUGGAAAGGGUAAUCCUGCAGGAAAGGAGGAGGGAGUCGUUCCAGAGUUUGGGAGAUGUCGGCUUUGACUCUGAGUGAUGCCGCCUCAAACACUUACUGUCAUACAGGAAGUUACUCAAACACAAUCAAUUAGACACCCAUAUUAGCAUAUUUGUCAUUGUAAUACAGCCGCAGAGAGGAGAUGCUGGAGACUGUUUAUUGCUGUUCUGAGCUAAUAUUUAUUAAAGUGAUUAAUAUGUUUUUCAAAUAUCUGUGACAGGCGUGGCAGGAAUUACUGAUCUCCUCCCUCGAGAGCCUGAAAGGGUGAGGGGUGGGAGUCACUUAGAGAGGGGCGGCAGGUAGGGGCCUUGGGGCCUCAGGGGACCGUGUCCUCCUCUGGGGCCCCUUUCCUGCUCGGGCCUCCUGCCUUCCAUCUUCCCCUGUCUCCUCCACCUUCAACUUCCCCUGUCUCCUCUCCUCCACCUUCAACUUCCCCCUCUACUGACCGUUCCCAUCGGCAUUCUGAGACAUCUCCCACCAUGACAAAUAGAGACCUCCCAGGAUGCCCUGUCCCCCUGCUCCUUCCUGGACCCCCUCAUCCCCAGCCAUUCUGCCAUCUUCCUCCUUCCCUCCAUAGCCAAACUCUUCAAAAGAACUCUUUUCCCUCCCUACCUCCUUUGCUCAUCUUCCAGUCUCUGCUUUUUAAAAAUCAUUACAAAAAAUUAAAAGUGGCUGGGCGCGGUGGCUCACACCUGUAAUCCCAGUACUUUUGGAGGCCAAGGCGGGAGGGAAUAACCUGAGGUCAGGAGUUCGAGACCAGCCUGGCCAACAUGGUGAAACCCUGUCUCUAUUAAAAAUACAAAAAUUAGCAGGGUGUGGUAGCUGGUG